UUACUGUGACAAAAACUCCUGAAGCGAGUUCAGAAAGGAAGAGUUUAUUUCAGCUCACAGUCCCAGGGCACAGUCUGUCAAGGUAGGAAAGGCACGGUGCCAGGAAUGUGAGGCGGCUGGUCACAUCGCAUCGGAAGUCAGGAAGCAGAGAGCAAUGUAUGCUGGUGUUCAGCUUGCUUUCUCUUUUUUAUUCCGUCUUGGGAUUAUCACAUUCAGGGUGGGUCUUCCUCACUCAGUGAAACCUUUCUAGAGGCAUCCUCAGAGACACACCCAAAAGUGUGUUUCCAUGGUGAUUCUAAAUCCAGUAAAACUGACGACGAAGGUUAAAUAGCAUGUCUCCUUCCUUCCUUCCCAGGAAGACCCUAUAAUGCCAGGGUUGCCCUGACACAUAUGCGCUCCUUUGGCACAGGCUCUGUGGCUUGGUGGCCUGAGAGGCCAUUUCUGCCCACAGGACCUGGUGCAGGGAGACUUACCGUCUGAGGACAAGAUUAUCUGUGUCAGGAUCCCAGAUCUAGGAGGAUUGUACUUUGCCUUAGGGCGGGCCCUGCCCUUGCUCAGGAAGAAAGUGGGUGGCCUCGGAGGGUGUGCAGCUGGAAGCAGAGAAGGGCUGGGGUUUGAGCUUGGAAGAUGCCACACGUCAAAUGAGACAGCCCACCUGUCUCAUUUGGCCAUACCCUGGCAAGAGAAGAAGCCAAGGCCAUCCUGCCCACCAUGAACUUGAGGUCCUUGAACCUGGGAGAGGGCGUAUGCGGCUGGAGCUGAAGCAGCCUUCUUGCCAUCAGGAGAGUAAGAGCGUUGAGAGGACCCAGUUCAAACACAUGGAAAGGAAGAAGACAGAGAGGCUGCUGUGUCUCAGGUCCUGGAGUCAGCCAUUCCUGAAACAAGUUACCACUGGGCUUUCUCCUGUGAACCAACAAACCUUGCCCUUUGCCAAGCAGGGAUGGCUGUGAAUGGUGCCAGCCAUCAGGGGAUUUUUCCGCUGUCGAUAGAGGGGGCACUAUCUGCGGGCCAGGGCCCAGUUCUUGAAUUUCUGUCUGAAAGGGUUAGGCAAGCCUCACUGGCUGUGGCAGCUGGUGUCUGGGCACAAGCCAGAUGCUGCCUUGCUUUGGCUCAGAGGCUGAGAAUUGGAAUCGGGUCCCUCUCUGUGCCUUGGUGGCACCUGGCAGUAUUGGGACUCGGGGUGACAGCAGCGCAGUGUCUGCCAAGUUCCCCAGUCUGGUUUUGAACUCCUCACAUUCCUUGCUAAGUGUGUGAGUCUGUGCCUGUCCCACCAGACACACCGUGACUCACUGCUGUUAUUACAAGGUGAACAGGAUACACGUUUAUUAAUGGAUGUUUACUAGUGGAGAGGAUGGUAGUUCAUUAUUUGUAUUUCUCUUUUGAUUUUCCCCUCAGUGACUGUGGUGGACAGGGCUACUGGCUCCAUCCUUCAGAUGGGGAAACGAAGGCUUAGGAAGGUGAAUUCAGGUUAGUGUGAAAGUCAAGGUCCCACUCAACCAAGAGUCUCAGCCAGACUCGGCCCUGCCCUGCCUCCUUCCCAGGCUCUCAGCUGAUCGGGAGGGACAGCCAGGCCGGCUUCUCUUCAUUCAGCAUCCCACACAGAACAGACAGCAGGUUAGUAAGUUCUAACAUAGUCAAGAAGGGUGGGCUGGGCUAGACCCUCGCCUGCCCACCCCCAGCAAAAAGCCACUUGGACGCCAGUGUGGCACUUGGGAUUCGCAACCUCUCCUCACGCUCACUCGGUGGAGCAAGAGGCUCACAAGCCCAGAGCCAGGUCCUCCCACCUCUCCCUCUCUGGGGUUUUGCCCAGACCCGAGUCACCUUCCCGGGCAGGAUCCAAUUACAUCCCAGCAGCAGCCUGGGAUUGAGCACAGCGUGAGUCUUCUUCAAAUCCUUCUCUCCUUUGUCUUGUGAGCCUUGAAAAAUGAAAGGAAUGAUAAGGAUUUGGGGGGGGGGUUGCUAGAAAAUUCUGCGGAUACUGGGUAACUCAUCGGGAAAGAAGCAUGGAGGCCCGCAGUAGAGACCUUUUGGAGGAUUAGGGAUCCCAGCCUGGAACAGAGAGAGGCUCAUGCUCCUGGAUCCGCUAGCCUCCUGGGGGACAGGCCACUAAAGCUUCCUGGACCUCAGUUUCCACAGCUGUAUGCAGCAACUGAGGCUGACUCCCUGUCCUUUUUGGAUUUUGAGACAGGGCGUCUCGGUAUAGCUCUGGCUGUCCUGGAACUCACUAUAUAGGUCAGGCUGGCCCCAAAUUUACAGAGCUCUGCCUGCUUCUGCCUCCUGAGUGCUGGCAUUGAGGGUGUGGGUUUUUGAGACCUCAAAGGCUAUUCUCAGUGUCACCCGCCCUGCCCACCCCUCCAGCAAGGACACACCUCUUAAUCCUUCUCGAACUGUUCCUCUAACUGGGGGCCAGGCAUCCAAACCUGAGAGCCUAUGGGGGCCGUUCUCAUUCAAGCCUCCACACUCCCACAGCCCUGAGUUGUUGCAAGAAGAAACAAGUGACCUGAAGACCAAAUGCUCCCAAACAGGGUGACUCAGCUCCCUGGAAGACAUCCUAUAAAGUCCAGGGGCCGUUUUUUAUUGGCACAACUGCGAGAGUCGGCUAGUGGGUGAAGACAGGGUGCUGUCAGGUGCCCUACAGAGCCCAGGACCACCCUGCCAGUGACCCUGUCCACAAAGUCAGCAGUACCGGGACGAAGUCUUGAACGUUUAGCAACGCGCUGUGGCUUUUCUUGCUCAGGGGCGCCACCUGGACGCAGAAGGGACAGUGAUUAGGAGAAUAGGGUAUACUAGGAGGAAGGUUAGGCUUCCAUAUUGGCAGCCAUGGAUGAAGAGUCUGUUUGUGCCAGAUGCUCUGCCCUCACAGUGUCGGGUCUUGAGGAAGCAAGUAGAGCGCGCAGAUAUUAAAUGUCCAUCAACUGUGAUGGAGAGAUAAGCUGUGGUCUAGUCAUGUACUGGAAGAUUUGGGCUAUCAAAAGGAGGUGGAAUUGUUUGACAUCUUCCUUUCCUUUUUGUAUCUGCGUGUACAUAUGUGUAUUCAUUUCUAUUUCUUGCUUUAUUAACUAAGAACUCAAGUCCUAUCCUGAACAGAGGCAGAAAGAGGAUGUCUUCUCUUGCUCCUAAUUUUGGGUGAAUGCUCUCAGUUCUUCUCCAUUUAGUAUAAUGUAAUCCAGAGGUUUGUUGUAUACAAACUUCAUACUGAAAGGUUCUCAAGCUAUCUCCAGUCUCUUCUGAUUUUAUUGUGAAGGGAUAUUGAAUUUUAUCAGACCUUUUCAGCAUCUAUUGAGAAGGUCAUGCGAUUUUUCAUCUUGAUUCUGUCUAUAUACAGGUCUUUCUUUUUGGAAAAAAAGAAGAUUUUAUUUUUUAAAAUUAUGUAAAUAUGUGUAUGUAUGUUUGUGGGUUUGUGUAUGUGAGUCCAGGUACCCACGGAGACCAGUUCUGAAAAAUAUAUUACAGGUUAUUAGCUCACACAGCUUGAGUUUGACUCUUAUCUCAAUAAAGCUAAAUGGUGUGUACUGAC